UAUCAGCUCCAGCAUGGAGCCAGAGAGAGUUGAAUAAGCUUUGACACACAGAGUAUCUGCCAUAAAAAGAGCAGGGGACGAGCCCUUCCUGGCACUGGGAACACCACUGCUCGUCCAUCAUGCUGAGCCCCAGUCCUGUCACACACCAACUGCUCUGAAACUACACUCAGAACUAGUGCAGGUUUCUGCUUUGAAACUUUUGUGAACUUCCCCUUGAAGCUCUUAUGGCAGAAGUGUGAGACACCAACCACGGCCACAGCACAGGCUCGUCAGGAUCACAGGCUUUAGGUACCUGUGACCCGGCGGAGCGGGGGGCUCCGGGCAGAUCCCGAGGCGAGGCGGGUCCCCGCUGCCGAGCGCUGCCCGCCGGGCUGAGGGGCGAGAUCGCCGGGCUGAGGGGCGAGAUCGCCGGGCUGAGGGAUCUUUGCACCAUUGGAUCCUCAGAGCUCCGUCAGCCUCUCUCACCCUUUUGCACCUUCUCCCCACUCAAGCUGAUGAGCAGCUUUUAUAAGAAACAAGGGAGUUCUGCUGCCAAUGAGGAGGUCACAUGUGGAGAAUGAAGGGGAGGACUGUGCCCUAAUGCCAUGAGUGACUGCAGCCUUUGCUCUGAGAGCAGUAAUGAAGGCAGCAGAGCUGUGGCUCAGCAGGCUGCUGUUUGUGUGGCCCUGCGAGUGUCAC